GAUGAGAAAAUAAUUAUAAAAUAUUAAUUAUUUCAUAAAAUAUUUCUCGAUUAAUUUUUUUGAGGAUAAGCUCGAAAAAAAGUUAAGAAAUUUUACUAAUUUAGGUUAUUAUGUGGGCUUAAAAUUGGCCAUCAUAAGAGUUUGUUAUAAAACAAUAAUCUUAAUAUUUAAGAUAAAUAUAUUUUAUUCUAAUUUUUUACAGAAAUAAAGACCUCAAUUAAUAAAUGCCUUAUACCUAUGCUAGGAUGAGUAUUAAAACUUUUUAUAUUCUAAGAAAGUUUUAUGUAUUUUUCUUCAAAAAAAAUAUUGAUUGAAUUAAAUUAGUUAAAAGGAACUCGGCAAAAUUAAUGCUUUCGCCUGUUUAUCAAAAACAUGGCUCUCUGAAUUCAUUUUCAUAGAGAGUCAGGCCUGCCCAGUGAAUAAUAUUU
rnacentral:rRNA from 1 species